rnacentral:rRNA from 1 species
AGAGUUUGAUCCUGGCUCAGGAUGAACGCUGGCGGCGUGCCUAACACAUGCAAGUCGAGCGAGAAGUCAUGGAUGGAAUCUUCGGAGGAAAGAAAUGAUGGAAAGCGGCGGACGGGUGAGUAACGCGUAGGUAACCUGCCCCAUACAGAGGGAUAGCCACUGGAAACGGUGAUUAAUACCUCAUGACACUUUCUCUUCGCAUGGAGAGGAGGUCAAAGAUUUAUCGGUAUGGGAUGGACCUGCGUCUGAUUAGCUUGUUGGUGGGGUAACGGCCUACCAAGGCGACGAUCAGUAGCCGACCUGAGAGGGUGAUCGGCCACAUUGGAACUGAGACACGGUCCAAACUCCUACGGGAGGCAGCAGUGGGGAAUAUUGCACAAUGGGGGAAACCCUGAUGCAGCAACGCCGCGUGAAGGAAGAAGGCCUUUGGGUCGUAAACUUCUGUUCUGAGGGAAGAAGAAAGUGACGGUACCUCAGGAGAAAGCCCCGGCUAACUACGUGCCAGCAGCCGCGGUAAUACGUAGGGGGCAAGCGUUGUCCGGAAUUAUUGGGCGUAAAGAGUACGUAGGCGGUUUGCUAAGCGCAAGGUGAAAGGCAGUGGCUUAACCAUUGUAAGCCUUGCGAACUGACAGACUUGAGUGCAGGAGAGGAAAGCGGAAUUCCUAGUGUAGCGGUGAAAUGCGUAGAUAUUAGGAGGAACACCGGUGGCGAAGGCGGCUUUCUGGACUGUAACUGACGCUGAGGUACGAAAGCGUGGGGAGCAAACAGGAUUAGAUACCCUGGUAGUCCACGCCGUAAACGAUGAGCACUAGGUGUCGGGAUCGUAGGAUUUCGGUGCCGCAGUUAACGCAUUAAGUGCUCCGCCUGGGGAGUACGCACGCAAGUGUGAAACUCAAAGGAAUUGACGGGGACCCGCACAAGCAGCGGAGCAUGUGGUUUAAUUCGAAGCAACGCGAAGAACCUUACCAGGACUUGACAUCCCUCUGACAGAGCCUUAACCGGCUCCUUCUUCGGACAGAGGAGACAGGUGGUGCAUGGUUGUCGUCAGCUCGUGUCGUGAGAUGUUGGGUUAAGUCCCGCAACGAGCGCAACCCUUGUCAUUAGUUACUAACAUUAAGUUGAGGACUCUAAUGAGACUGCCGGGGACAACUCGGAGGAAGGUGGGGAUGACGUCAAAUCAUCAUGCCCCUUAUGUUCUGGGCUACACACGUGCUACAAUGGCCGGUACAAAGAGAAGCAAGACCGUGAGGUGGAGCGAAACUCAAAAACCGGUCCCAGUUCGGACUGCAGGCUGCAACUCGCCUGCACGAAGUUGGAGUUGCUAGUAAUCGCGGAUCAGAAUGCCGCGGUGAAUGCGUUCCCGGGUCUUGUACACACCGCCCGUCACACCAUGGAAGUUGGGGGGCGCCCGAAGUUGGUCGAGAAAUAGAUUACCUAAGGCGAAACCAAUGACUGGGGUGAAGUCGUAACAAGGUAGCCGUAUCGGAAGGUGCGGCUGGAUCA